rnacentral:RNase_P_RNA from 1 species
GGAGCCGUCUAAACGAUCGCCGGAUCUCUGAGAUCCGGAGGAAAGUCCGAACACCAUAGGGCAGGGUGCUCCAUAACGUGGAGUCGUGGUGACGCGAAGGAAAGUGCAACAGAAAGUAAACCGCCCCCGCUUCAAGCGCUGUUUGGAGCGGGAGUAAGGGUGAAACGGUGCGGUAAGAGCGCACCAGUUCUCCGGGUGACCGGAGAAGCUCGGCAAACCCCACCCGGUGCAAGACCAAAUAGAGGAGCGUUUGAGGACUGCCCGUCCGAGCUCCCGGGUAGGUCGCAAGAGGCGUCGGGCAACCGGCGCCCUAGAUGAAUGAUCGUUACCUGAAACAGGGCAACCGGUUUCAGGGACAGAAUUCGGCUUACGGGCGACUCCGGCC